AUAAUGAUACUUCCGUCCAGUCACAGCCCCGCAAAACGGGAACACGCAAUGAGGGCGGCUCGGAGAGACCCUCGGAGGGGAAGAAUCCCAUGA
ncrna:unclassified sequences pemK RNA